AGAGUUUGAUCCUGGCUCAGAAUCAACGCUGGCGGCGCGCCUAACACAUGCAAGUCGAACGAGAAAGGGGAGCAAUCCCUGAGUACAGUGGCGUACGGGUGAGUAACACGUGGGUAAUCUGCCUCUUAGUGGGGAAUAACCCUGGGAAACCGGGGAUAAUACCGCAUAAGCCCGAGAGGGGAAACGCGAAAGCGGCUGAGAGAGGAGCCCGCGGCCGAUUAGCUAGUUGGUAGGGUAAAAGCCUACCAAGGCAAAGAUCGGUAGCCGGCCUGAGAGGGCACACGGCCACACUGGCACUGAAACACGGGCCAGACUCCUACGGGAGGCAGCAGUGGGGAAUCUUGCACAAUGGGGGAAACCCUGAUGCAGCGACGCCGCGUGAGCGAUGAAGCCCUUCGGGGUGUAAAGCUCUUUCGGCAGGGAAGAUGAUGACGGUACCUGCAGAAGCAGCUGCGGCUAACUACGUGCCAGCAGCCGCGGUAAUACGUAGGCAGCAAGCGUUGUUCGGAGUUACUGGGCGUAAAGGGUGUGUAGGCGGUUUGGUAAGUCUGGUGUGAAAUCUCCCGGCUCAACUGGGAGGGUGCGCCGGAAACUGCCGGACUAGAGUGCGGGAGAGGAGAGUGGAAUUCCUGGUGUAGCGGUGAAAUGCGUAGAUAUCAGGAGGAACACCGGUGGUGUAGACGGCUCUCUGGACCGUAACUGACGCUGAAACACGAAAGCGUGGGUAGCAAACAGGAUUAGAUACCCUGGUAGUCCACGCCCUAAACGAUGCAUAUUUGGUGUGGGUCAUUCAGUUGAUCCGUGCCGGAGCUAACGCGUUAAAUAUGCCGCCUAGGGAGUACAGUCGCAAGGCUGAACUCAAAGGAAUUGACGGGGCCCGCACAAGCGGUGGAGCAUGUGGUUCAAUUCGACGCAACGCGAAGAACCUUACCUGGGCUCGAACGG
rnacentral:rRNA from 1 species